GACGAACGCUGGCGGCGUGCCUAAUACAUGCAAGUAGAACGCUGAAGGAGGAGCUUGCUUCUCUGGAUGAGUUGCGAACGGGUGAGUAACGCGUAGGUAACCUGCCUGGUAGCGGGGGAUAACUAUUGGAAACGAUAGCUAAUACCGCAUAAUAGUAGAUGUUGCAUGACAUUUGCUUAAAAGGUGCAAUUGCAUCACUACCAGAUGGACCUGCGUUGUAUUAGCUAGUUGGUGGGGUAACGGCUCACCAAGGCGACGAUACAUAGCCGACCUGAGAGGGUGAUCGGCCACACUGGGACUGAGACACGGCCCAGACUCCUACGGGAGGCAGCAGUAGGGAAUCUUCGGCAAUGGACGGAAGUCUGACCGAGCAACGCCGCGUGAGUGAAGAAGGUUUUCGGAUCGUAAAGCUCUGUUGUAAAAGAAGAACGAGUGUGAGAGUGGAAAGUUCACACUGUGACGGUAUCUUACCAGAAAGGGACGGCUAACUACGUGCCAGCAGCCGCGGUAAUACGUAGGUCCCGAGCGUUGUCCGGAUUUAUUGGGCGUAAAGCGAGCGCAGGCGGUUAGAUAAGUCUGAAGUUAAAGGCUGUGGCUUAACCAUAGUACGCUUUGGAAACUGUUUAACUUGAGUGCAAGAGGGGAGAGUGGAAUUCCAUGUGUAGCGGUGAAAUGCGUAGAUAUAUGGAGGAACACCGGUGGCGAAAGCGGCUCUCUGGCUUGUAACUGACGCUGAGGCUCGAAAGCGUGGGGAGCAAACAGG
rnacentral:rRNA from 1 species